rnacentral:lncRNA from 1 species
AGCCCGCCGGGCUCUUCUCCUUCAGCAGGCCGGGCGCGGCCGUGCAGCCCUCCGGCUUCAGCUUCGGCUCGGCCGCCGCGACCCCCGCGGCCCCGGCAGCCGCCGCCUUCCCGCUGGGGGCAAACACCACAAAAGUGAACUUUGGAGCCAGCACUGCCACUUCAGCUCCUGGAAUCACGGGGGGCUUUUCUUUUAGUGCCCCUGUUGCAACCAGCACACCCUCGAGUCAGGCAGCAGCCCCGUCCGGCUUUUCCUUUGGCUCUGCUGGCACCAGCAGCACCAGCACGGCUCCGUCUGGGACGACAGGAGGCUUCACCUUCUCCAGUGGCACCACGACUCAGGCGGGAACAGCCGGCUUCAGCAUCGGCACCGCGGCUCCGCAGGCAACGUCCGCGGGGCUGACCUUUGGCACGGCCCCUGCGGCUGCUGCCACCACCAGCACGGCCACCCUGGGAGCGGCCACCCCGUCAGCAGCGCCCUUCAGCCUCGGGGGGCAGUCCACAGGUCUAACCUUUGGGGCACCGCCUUCAACAGCAGCCACCAGCACAACCACGGCAACGCUGACCACAAGUACCAGCCAGGCACCCACCCUGUCCUUUGGAACCAAGCUUGGAGGUAGGAAGCUGUUCUAGAAAACAAUUCCUCAAGGCUUUGGGAAAUCCUCCUGGCAGCAUUUGACUAUUGGAAGUAGACAAAUGCACUGGGGUGUGGGAAGGGGCCAGAAGCAUUUGUUCCUGUGAGUUUGCCCUGGCAGGGGUGACCUGUGGCAGCUCCUAGAGCCACUGGUCAGUGUGUCCUGUGUUUCUGAUUGUGUCCCACAUGCCAGAUUCUGUUCUGUGCUUGUUUGGGCAGCACAGUGGAAGG